GUCAAAAGAAACAUCAAACAAGACUGCAGAACUGCAGAUCACGUUUCAGCACAAUCAACUACUUCCCUUUUCAGACAGACUCUUACCUUGCAAUCUGGGAGAAUCUUCUGAUCUCUGUUUUAGCAAUAGCAUUCCAGGUUAUCCCAUAUUUGUCCAAAGCUCUGCUAGAUAGAUCUACUGCAUCUCCCUUACAUGGAAAGACCCCAACUUCCUAACAAGAGAUGUAGCCACCCCCUGUCCACAGAAACAGUUUUUACUGAGAGUCUCAAUGUUUGAUCCUUAACUUGUUUGUUGGGCUGGAAAUGUGCCACAGGAAAUGAGGAUACGUGUAAAAGAACACAAUAAACCUUCAGAAAUACUGUGCCUGGAGGCUACAGACUUGAGCAUUACCAUCUAUUCUACCCCUCAAGUCUUGAAAACUUUUUUCCUGAGUUCCAAAGGCCCACUACAAGGAGGUAGGCUGCACUCCUGGAGCAAAUUCUGUUACACUUGUUGGUCAGCUGUCCAGCCCCACAAGCGUGCCUAUGCCACAGAGCAGCUAUUUCAUCCAUUUUCCAGUUUUCAGUGCUGCUCAGAAUCACUCCUUGCUGAUAUGAAGCAGAGAUUAAAGACUCCUGAUGCUUUCCUUGCUGCCUGUAGCAGCGCAGUGUUUUAUUGCACCUCGAUUCUGUCUGAACUUCAGGACUGGGAAUGUGAUCUUCUGUGGCUAUCACUUUCCUUCAUCUCCAAAGAGCAAGAAAAUUUUUCUUCUUCGUAAGAUACCUCCUCUGGCUUUUUCUUACGCUUUAUUCCUCUUUUUGAGAAGAUCCAGUAACAAGUUUUUGUAUUUGUUCAUUUUGAAAUGUAUCACUUAGAAUCUACAUUCCUUUGCAUCUUUUGCCUAGCAGUUCACCAUCUUCCAUUUCCCUUAUUUGUAGGAUAUCUCCUCAAACAUCAUUAGAGAGCUUGGGAGUAGAUUUCAAGCUGGAGGAAAGGAGGCCAGUUUGGGUAUCAGGGGACAGUCAUUAUGGCAAAAAAAAAAAAACACAAUCUAGCCCUUCAGGAAAAUUUCCUGGCAGCUGUUAGACCACCAACGCAUUGGCAGAAGCCUCAUAAAAACACGUCAGCAGUGAUUGAACAGAGCAUUCCUGUGCACGCAAUAGUGAAUGGCGAAAGGGACGCCGCACACUGCCUCCUCAGCCCUUCUAUCUCCCCAUUUUAGGAAGGCAGCUUACUCCAGCAUCACAGUUGUCAAGUCAGCAGUUGGGGCAGAUGGACUUUCCUUUUUCAGCUCCGUAUUUUGCCAAAGCCACGAUCCGGAAUCUGCCCACAGGGAAUGGAUUUCUUUCAAGAAAAGAAAAAAGCCCACAAAAAGCCAACCGUGCUAUUGAGGGAGUAGCAAUUUCUCUGCCCUUCAAUCAACCCCGAAAGAGAUGCUGCAUGCUUUAUCAGAUUUCCUAGCUUUAUUGGUUGCUGUCGCAAUGACUUUCUAAACACAGUCCUGUAAAGCACAGAUCUUGGCAUAGCAGGGAACUACCAUUCACAGUUUCCCAGUGAUGGAGAAAAAUCUGAAAGACAGCGCUUCACUUAACCCCAGUUAUGAGAGUUGCGAUCGGAUCUGAGUUCUACCACAAUUCGUGAGCCUAAGAAACACCCAGCAACAUAAAACAGCCAUUUGUGGUGGUUUCUGGUGCUAGCAGGAAAAAGGAUACCAGUUCUCCUCUUUCACUGCCUUCCCUUCAGGGGAGUCCUGAAAAGAGUCCUUUGAAAGAGCUAAAGGAACCGGCACACGCUGAGAUUUUACUGGAGAGCAAAGCUUUGAACACUGAACAGGGACUGUUCAACCACACGUGAGACAAAGGGAAAAAGGCAUGCCUGUUUGUAGGCACGAGUUUAUGUGCACUGUGGGGCCAAAGGGGAUGGCGCAGGUGCCCCCAGGUAUCCCAGUGAAGUUGGAAGCAUAAGUUAAUUCCCUGACAAAUGAGAACUGAAAUCCACCCAUCACCUUUAAAAAGCCUUUACAAAGCAGCUUUUUUACUGGACGUUCCUGGCUAGUGUCACCUGUAAGGACAAUUCCUCCUUACGGAGACAAUGCUGGCUCUGCAAAUUGACUUUAUGCACAGAAAUCUGCUGCUGCAUGUGCACGGGGUGUCACAGCCCAGCCAGCUGCUGGGCAGGGGAGCAGUGCCCGCGGCUCCAGCUGGAAGGCUCACCCUCUAAGAAAGAGAGAAAACAGCAGCCAGCAAAUGUCCCCUCCUUCCCCUAGCACUGCGUUCCAGAUCAGGAGAUGUCACGAGCUGUGUAACUCUCAGUAAUUGUUUGAUUACAUCCAUUAGUGUUAUCUGUUUGUAAAUACAGUGGGUCCGUAAUUCCAAAAAUUGAUUUUAUCCCAUGUGAUUCUAAAGACUGGGAGAAUAUAAAAGAGUAGUGGGUUUAGGGAGGCAAAACAUCCCUCCCAUCAACAUAACAGCUGCUCCUACAGUAACAAUGCACGAACUGCUUUCAGGUAGGGUCCAGGAUGAAUAAAUGCAGCUACCACUUCGCUGUAGCUCUUCCUCCUUCACUGCAUGCAGGAUUUCCUCCUUGCCAAGCAAAUAAGAACUGCUCUCAACAUCUGUACCCUGCUGCAAGCAGAAGCCUGGAGAGGCUCUGUACAGCUCAUGUUUCAUUCCGCAUUAGCUUCUGCCAUCAUCUGUCAUUCUUCACUGACAGUGCCAACACCAGGCAUUUGUCCCUCAAGGUCCCUUUCUCUCCAUUAUUAAGGUGACUGCCCUUAGGGUCAUACAACAAAGCCAGAAGAAGCUUAGAGGUGUGGAGAACCUCUAUCCUGAGGGCCCUGCUCCUGCCAGCUACACUGGAGCCUGCUGUAUGGAUAGUAAUUUCUCUCCUUCAACCAAAGCUGCUCUGCUGUUGAGCUGGGCUGACUCAGCAUACUGGAAAGUGGGUUCAGGUCCACAGAACUCACAUUUCCAGUUGUAUCAGCAGAUUACAUGUUCCCAUGGAGCUCAGUACAGACAAGGUAUUCAUACUUCUGCAAGAAGAACUGAGGGGAGCCAGGCUUCAUGUCUACGAGCAAGCUAUUUG
rnacentral:lncRNA from 1 species